GCGCUCUCUUCAGCAGCACAUACACUAAAAUUGGAACAAUAUAGAGAUUAGCAUGGUGCCUGCACAAUGAUGACACACAAAUUUGUGAAGUGUUCCAUAUUUUA